UAUUUACUCCCUCCGUCCCAAAAUUUUGUCUUAGAUUUGUCUAGGUACGGAUGUAUCUAAUACUAAAACGUGACUUGAUACAUUCGUAUUUAGAUAAAUCUAAGACAAGAAUUUUGGGACGGAGGGAGUACCAU
rnacentral:pre_miRNA from 1 species